rnacentral:ncRNA from 1 species
CGUCGAGAGGUGGAAUCUGAAAGAAGUCGGAUGUAAUGGCUGGGAAGUGCCAUUACAGUCAAAACCUUGGUCUGAUGAACAGAAAUCGUUUAUAAGUCCUAUUGAAGGGGAUGAGGGCACUUAACAAAACAUACUCCAGUACUUCAAUAUGUAAAUACGGCAGAUAAAUGAGGUGUAUGU